rnacentral:lncRNA from 1 species
CUGGCUAGAUGUGAAACUCAAUGGAUUACACAUAUAUAAAAAUUAACCAAAGAUCUUUUUUGAUAAGGUUGAUUGAAAUUUUGGAUCCGAUCAGGGUUCCCAAUAAACAUGCAAGCACGUGUGGAAAUUCUAGCUCCUUAGGAGAUCAAUUUGGUUUACCUUGCUAAUUUGCUAAUCUAAUUUGGUGAGCAAUUGGAUCAGGUCG